CUAGCCCGGCCGAUACGAGGAGCUGGUAUGUACCGCACCGGGCUAUGCACCCGCACUGGGGACACCGUGCGCUCCACAGCAUAACACGGUGCCUGCCCGGUCUCUCUAGCCCCCCGGUAAGCACAGGAAGUUGGCUCAGGUCUCUCUAGCCCCCCGGUAAGCACAGGAAGUUGGCUCAGGUCUCUCUAGCCCCCCGGUAAGCACAGGAAGUUGGCUCAGGUCUCUCUAGCCCCCCGGUAAGCACAGGAAGUUGGCUCAGGUCUCUCUAGCCCCCCGGUAAGGACAGGAAGUUGGCUCAGGUCUCUCUAGCCCCCCGGUAAGCACAGGAAGUUGGCUCAGGUCUCUCUAGCCCGCCGGUAAGGACAGGAAGUUGGCUCAGGUCUCUCUAGCCCCCCGGUAAGCACAGGAAGUUGGCUCAGGUCUCUCUAGCCCCCCGGUAAGCACAGGAAGUUGGCUCAGGUCUCUCUAGCCCCCCGGUAAGCACAGGAAGUUGGCUCAGGUCUUUCUAGCCCCCCGGUAAGCACAGGAAGUUGGCGCAGGUCUCAUACCUGGCUUCGCCAUACUCCCUGUGUGCCCCCGCCAAUACAUUUUUGGGGCUGACUCUCGGGCUU